UACAGAGGUGGCAAGCGUUGUUCGGAAUUACUGGGCGUAAAGGGCGCGUAGGCGGUUCGUUAAGUCCUGUGUGAAAUCCCCCGGCUCAACUGGGGAACUGCACAGGAAACUAGCGGGCUUGAGUCCGGUAGGGGACCACGGAAUUCCUGGUGUAGCGGUGAAAUGCGCAGAUAUCAGGAGGAACACCGGUGGCGAAGGCGGUGGUCUGGGCCGGCACUGACGCUGAGGAGCGAAAGCGUGGGUAGCAAACAGG
rnacentral:rRNA from 1 species